GACGAAGGGGGCUAGCGUUGUUCGGAAUUACUGGGCGUAAAGCGCGUGUAGGCGGUUGUUCAAGUCGGGUGUGAAAGCCUUGAGCUCAACUCAAGAAAUGCACUCGGUACUGGAUGUCUAGAGGACCGGAGAGGAUAGUGGAAUUCCCAGUGUAGUGGUGAAAUACGUAGAGAUUGGGAAGAACACCAGUGGCGAAGGCGGCUAUCUGGACGGUUUCUGACGCUAAGACGCGAAAGCGUGGGGAGCAAACAGG
rnacentral:rRNA from 1 species